CCUACGGGAGGCAGCAGUGAGGAAUAUUGGUCAAUGGACGAGAGUCUGAACCAGCCAAGUAGCGUGAAGGAUGACUGCCCUAUGGGUUGUAAACUUCUUUUAUAUGGGAAUAAAAUGUUCCACGUGUGGGAUUUUGUAUGUACCAUAUGAAUAAGGAUCGGCUAACUCCGUGCCAGCAGCCGCGGUAAUACGGAGGAUCCGAGCGUUAUCCGGAUUUAUUGGGUUUAAAGGGAGCGUAGGUGGAUUGUUAAGUCAGUUGUGAAAGUUUGCGGCUCAACCGUAAAAUUGCAGUUGAAACUGGCAGUCUUGAGUACAGUAGAGGUGGGCGGAAGGCGGGGUGUAGCGGUGAAAUGCAUAGAUAUCACGCAGAACCCCGAUUGAGAAGGCAGCAUACCGGCGCCCUACUGACGCUGAGGCACGAAAGUGCGGGUAUCGAACAGGAUUAGAUACCCCAGUAGUC
rnacentral:rRNA from 1 species